GUUGAAGACGACGACGUUGAUAGGCCGGGUGUGUAAGCGCAGCGAUGCGUUGAGCUAACCGGUACUAAUGAACCGUGAGGCUUAACCUUAC
rnacentral:rRNA from 2 species